AAUUUAUGAUGAGAAAGGACCUUGUCUGAACAUUAUGAUUUCAAAUUGUGAGCUUUAAAAUGUCAGUGAAAAA